UCAAAAGAGAGAGAGGGACAGAAUUAUCCAAAAGGAAAGAAGGUAUUCUUUUAAUAUGAUGAUGAUGAAGAAGAUAAUAAUAAAUAUUAUUAUUAUUAUUAUUAUUAUUAUUAGUGGUUCAUUAGCUGCUCUACUUCACUCUUAAACUGAUGGUAGAGGAGCUAAUGGAUUAUAAAAGCAAUUUCAUAGCUAUGAGAAAAUAACUGGUUUGGACUAAAAUGCCAGUCUUGGUGAUAUAAUGUAUUUAAAAUAUCAAUAACAUUUUAUUUAUUUAAAAUAUGUAUACCCUGCCCUUUCAGUGUGGGCAGCUCACAAAUGUGAUAUUUGCAAACAGCUAGUUUAUAAAAGGCAUAUUCCCCCCUGAAAGAUGACUGCAUGCAAUGUCUUAUUCACACGGGGACCUACCCGCCACCCAAAUUUGUUACCCCUAUGACCUUUAUAUGUGGUCCCAAUCGCUCCAAAUCCGAAUUGAAUUGAAUCCAAAUAGAAUCUGGGGUGAUUCUGGUGGGGGGGGGGCAGAUAUGGACACAAAACAAAUCAGGGUGAUUUCUCCUGAGAAAAAGGGGGAAAUUGGAAAAACAACAACAGACUGAUGUUGAAAGUGAGGGAAAUCACCGAGAUGCAGACUUCUGAGGGAAAGGCAGGAGAAUAAGCCAAAGAAACAGCCUGAGUCAAGCUGAAAAUUAUCAGAGGAACAAGCUGAAGAAAUUAGCAAAGGAAUAGUUGAAGAAACAGUCCAAAUUCAAACCAGAAGAGGUCAGAAGAAAAAGCUGAGGAACGAAGCUGAGUUCCUUCUACUGGUGGCUGAGAAGGAACUGAGAAGAAAGGUGCUCUCCUUUCAAAAUUAACAGUAGCACACGGACACGAUUCAGCAGAGCCAAAGGGUGCCUCAAAUAAUUUGGAAUUCUUCAGCAGUGGGCUACUGAGCAGGUACAGAACCCAGAUUGUGAAGGAACAUGUAUCACUUCAGAGAUCUAUUGUUUACCAGAGAGAUGUAUUUACCUCAGAGAUCUAUUAUUUACAAUUACAGAAGCAACCACCAUUAUGGAUAGGGCGCUUCCCUGUUCACACAAAUCCUGCUCUAAGCGUGAGCAGCAGAGAGCACUGAUGACUGAUGGGUUAGGACUCCUACCCAUUUGCAUCAAUGUGCAUGGUUACAGCAGCACUUUUUAAAAACGUCCAAAUGAGACCUUUAUGUUAGAUUAUGCACCUUCAAGCCAAUGGAAAAACCUUUCUCCUGGUGGGGCUUAUAAUGCUUUGGGAGCAUGAUUUCCACUGGAACCAUGGCAUGGUGGUGACAAAGGAUUAAAUAUUAUCUCCUUACAUGCGGUGGUUCUAAUCCUGAUCUUCUUCCCCCAUCCCAGCCUCUGCAGCUUCUAUUUAAACUGAAACUCACAAACACACACAGAGCCAAACUGACUAACUAAACAUGCAGUUUGGUCCUAAUCUACAGAAAUUAAUGAAAAGACAUGGAAGGAAAUAAAUGAGAUAUUUCUCCACUGUGUUCUGUAAUUUAGGAUGUAAUCCACACCUAACUAAAGUCAGUAGGAAAGAUUCAAUUGUUUUAAGGGCUCAGGAUUCCACUCACAAGCUGCAACUCUGUGACACUUGCCUAGGAGCAAGUCCCACCAAGCAUAAUGUGACUUGCUUCUGAAUAAACAUGCAUAGGAUUAUGCUGUUAAACUUUCAACCUAGGGAUUUGCGCAUAUUACAAUUUCAUCGAGAGAUUUCCUCCUGCCCAUUCGUCAAUGUUUCAUGUAUAGAUUCUUUGCAUUAUGCAUACCCCCUUUAUCAGUGUUUCUGUCACUAAGGUUGCAAUCUUAAGCACACUUGCCAGGGGGUAAAUCCGAUUGAACUCAGUGGAAUUUACUGAGCAAACAUUCUCAGGACUGCAGUCCACACCACAGUGUAUGGCAGGAAUGACCUUGCUGAAUUUGACUAAAAUCCUAUAACAACAAUAGGUUCUUAAGGAGAAAAGAGACAGAAAAAUGCAAAAUAUGCUUAGGCCCUGUUUGGAUGAUCACUUCAGGAGCUUUGUGAAGCACUUGCUUGCUACUCACUAAACAAAGAGUUGCCUGAGCAGAACACUUCUGCAUGUCCCUCCUUCCCUCUGCAGCAUCCUGUGUCCUCUGAAAAUACGUUCCUGAGAGUUGGGGGACAUCAGCAACAGGUGUGUGUGUGUGGGAGGGGUGAUGCAUGCCCCCCUUGCAUGAGCAGAAGAGUUCUGCUCACACAAUAUUUAGUCUGGAUACUACCCAUAAUGUUUACCUACUUUGGAAAAUGUAUGUGAGGAGAGAGUUACGACAAGGUGCAUCAAAACAUGACUCAUGGCAAUAUGUGCAUUAUCUCGGAUACUGAUAAAAGCCAACACUUGCUAAAUAUAUUGCCUACCUGCAUCAUCAUGCGUCUUCUGACAGUAUCAAAGGGGUAUGAUAGUAUCCCAGAAAAUACAGUCACAGCUUGAGCAAUUGCAAACGACACAAGGAAUGGUGUUUCUUUUGGAUUUGGCAGUAAUCCCUAAGAAGGAAAAAAUGAAGUAAGAAAUAAUCAGACUACUCUAAGAACAUAAACAUAAAAUCUGGUGGUGUCAUAUCAUCAUGUUGUUCUAGCAUCUCUUUGGUGCAGAGUUUUGAAGAAUAAAUUAUUUCACACACCACAUUCUCAGUAUAAAUAAAAAGAACACCUACCCAAAAUCCAUUGUGUGUGGCAUGCCAAUAAAACAAAAAUAAUAUUUUCAACAAUAUAAAAGGAUAACAGUCAAUGUAGACCAGCACAGGGAUUACAACUGGUGCCCUCUGGGUCAGAUAAAGCCUUCAGAACAAUUUUAUCCUCCGCUUAGACUUCCUAACUAUUUUAAAACCAAUUAAAAAUAUUGCUCAGGUUUACUUUUAAGGUAACAGUUAACAAGUUUGUGUUUAUUUCAAUGCCAAUCUGAUUUCUGAAUGAAUCUUUCAAGCAUGUUCCAUCCUUCGUCUCUAUCCCUCCACGAAUUCUUACUAUGUGAAUACAUGAAAUUACAAUGGGAACUCAAGUGUCUGUGAGUGGGUACAUGGAGGGAAAUAUUUACUGGGAACACAAGCAAAAAACUAAAAGCUAGGGCUGCAACUUGAAUUUAGUGGUAGAAAGAGCUGCACAUUUUUUUGUUCCAUGCUUCAGUUUCUUCUGGCAUCAUUUUCUAUUAUUUGCAGCAGCAAAUAUUACAACAUCAUACCAUGAACUCCUACCAGAUAAUGCAAUAUUUAUUAUAGAGCCUGACCAUCCUUAAUUUAUUAUUUAUUUAUUUGAUUUCUAUACCGCCCUUGCAAAAAUGGCUCAGGGCGGUUUACAUAGAGAAAUAAUAAAUAAAUAAGAUAGAUCCUUGACAAAGAUGUUCUGGUUCCUGGUGCAGAGAAUAUUGCUACCUCUGAAGUCUAUAGAAGCUAGUCACCCUUGGUCUAGUGAGUAGACUAGACUUGGUCUAGUCAGUUGAGCAGAGCAGACUUGGUCAUGGAAGACCUUCUCAGUCAUAGACUCACAGAGUGGUUGAGUCACUUUCUAGUCUUUCAGCUUCAGUCUCCUGUCCCCAAAUUAAGCACAGCUUUGGUCUAUCUCAUAAGGUCAUAAAAAGAACUAACAAGCUAAUCAACAUAAAGUGCUCUACACACUACUGUCCACUCAAACAUGGCCUCCGAUUGACAUACAGAAGUGCUGAAUGGAGGGUUGCCUCAUUUAAUUCAGUAGUGGAUAUAAAAUGUCUGUGUGCAAAGCAAUGCACAUGUUGGUUCGAUUCUUCAGUUAGUACAUGAGCCAGCUGGGGUGGUUCGUACUAUCUCGCAGGACGAAUGCUCAUUGGGAUUUUUGACAAAGUCUAUACCCCUAUGGAUGGAAAACAGGCGAUAACAUUGCAAUACUUCCAGCUUCCAGUAUGUUAUGCUUUUCUUGCCUUGACCAUUGGGCCUGCAGCAGAUAAAUUCACAAUGGUGUUUUAAAAGCUGUUUUAAAAACAAACACUACUAUAAAAUUUUAUUGAUGUUGUAAGAGGAAUGGAAAUGAAAAUUGGCAGGAAUGUACUCCAAAGAUUACUUCAUGGAGUGAGUACAGCAAUUUGCUCAUUAUUACCCUAACCAUGACCCUAACCCUUUCCUCUGUGCAAAAAUGACUGCAAUUUCAUCCUAAUCACUUGGGGGUAGGAAUAAAGAAGGAGUGAUAAUACAGAGAAAUCUGUAAGUGCAACAGUGCUAAUCUACUUCCCAUCUCUAGGGAGGUCGAUGUUGCAAAAAACCACUAUGAGUAUUUGUCCACUUAGAUGGUACCAAUAGCCAAAAUUUGAGGCUUAUUAUAGACUAGGUCGAAAUGAAAAGAGCAACCGAUGUGAGUGAGGGGGCUUCAUAUGUGCAUCAGAGCUUUGGUCCCAGUAAGAAAUUAAUGGGGUGUGUGUGUGUGUGUAAACAACUGGCUGUGAUACUAGCAUCAUCAUUAACCACAGGGUCACUUUGGGCAAUCUUUAGCUCUGACUCUCAGUUACCAGUUUGUGCAAUAGGAUUAAUAAUGCUGACGUUCAGAGGGAUGCUCUCACAAUGAAUCAGAACUGCACUAAGAUAAAUACUGUAAAGAUCAGUACUGUAAAGUAUCAGACAAAUAUUGCAAAGUAUAUUGAGUGAGAGAACUGGUAUAGAAAUAGUCCAAAUGAAGGCAAUUUACAAGAGUGUGAUUUUGACCCCAAAACUUACUUUUAUGGUGUCAUAACAUCCAAAAUAGGACGCCCGAUAAACAAUGAUUCCCUGUACAGAAACACCAAAUCCUUGGUAUAGGCCAGGCAGUCCGUCUGUUUUUGCUAUUUUCAUAAUACAGUCACCAAGGCCUUUGAACUGCCGCUCUGCAGCACCUGAAAUGAAAGGGAAAAAAUAGUUUACUGAAGGCAGUUGGACAGCACUGCUAUCUGUGAUGCAUUCAGAGAUAAUAAACACAAAUAACUAAAUAAAGGUAGUUGCUUGAUGAAGAUAUAUACAAAAUGAAUCUUCUUUGACAUCUGCAUCAUUGUUCAGAGAUCAGUGCUAUCUAACGCAAUCUUACUCUAUCUGCCAAUUAAAUCAGAAAAGUCCAGUGUAAUAGUUUAAUACAAAGCUACAUUCUACAGUAAUUCUGAACAAAUUUAUUAUGGGAUUCACAAAUUGAUUGGUGCUUUUGUCUAUCUUGAGUCAGGACAGACAAAAGGGCCACCUGACCCAAAUACAAUAUUUCCCCAUCUUUCUUAGUUUAGUCUGUCAUGCUUCCUCUGCAGAUUGUCACAAAACUGCCACAACUUACUGGUAUUUUCCAGCCAAGUGGAUUCACCAUUUUGGAAGCACCAGAUAUAACUGAACGAAAGUUAAGCACUGUUAAGUUCCAUUGAUUUUAAUGAAGAGUUAAGCAUGUAUAUGUGUAGUGAAUUGCUGGUCAAUGACCGAAAUAAAGAUAUCUAUCUAUCUAUCUAUCUAUCUAUCUAUCUAUCUAUCUAUCUAUCGUGAUCAGCCACUCCUCCCCUAAAGAGUUAACCGGAAGUGAACCCUGUGGGACCUAGAGAACUGUUGGGAGGAAGGUGAGUAUGUCUGUUAGAAGAAGCUGGGCUAGGGGUGCAGGAGGACACAUGCGGCCAUGGAGGAUGAAUGCAGAAAAAUGACUGCAGCUUCUGUCUUCCAAGAUAGAACUGCAGGGGCUUGAUUUCUCAACCAGAAUUUGGGUGAGUUCAAGAAAAAGGAAGCCUGGGCUUUGGCUUUAGGGAGUUUAGUUUAGGGACAGUUUGUUUAGUUAGAUUCUGCGUUAGACUUUCAGUUUCUUGUUUGUGCUUUGUAUAUCCCUGAAACUAUUCUAUGAUUGUUUACCUGUAACAUAACAAAACUAAGAAACACUAGCUUUUACCCAUCCAGCCAGGGCGUUGUGAAAAGACUCUGUAAGCUUUUAAAGGUGCUUUUGUAUUUUCCUACAUACCUGAUCCUUGCAACUGGGUAACCACGAUUUUUAAAGCAUGCUACCCCAACAUCAUUUGGGGUGCUUUUUGGAGUACUCUUGUAACCUACGGAGUAUUUUUACCUUUAACUAAAAGCUGAGAAAGCCUCAGAUGGAAGCAGUCUGUAGCAUUUGAAUAAAAUGGUUUUUCUUUUUGUUCUUUUCUUUUACAAGCCUCUCAGAGUGAGUUUUUAACUCAGGAAAGUGGGGGCUUAAAGGGGGAUUUCUCUGGUGCAAACAUGUCUCCUCAGGUGGUCAACAGCUAUCAAUUUUCUCACUAUAUGUAGGCUUGCACGUGGAAGAUUUGUGUACUUUUCCAAUAGCAAAAUAAAGAGAGUUUUCCCUGGGAAAUCCACCACAAGCCCAGAGAGGUUCAAGCUCUGUAAUAGAGAGGGGUGGUGGUGGCAGCCAUUUUUGAACCUACUGAAAACACAGAAAAAAUUUAAGAGCAGCCUUUGCCAGAAAGCUCAGCAGGGAUGAUUCAGCAUUCUCCCUUCCCCUCACAGGAGCUUGCUCUGAGACAAAAGAUUUAAUCUGCUACAAUAUGCAAAUGAGAUUUGUAAUGCUUGACUUUGGCUAAAUUAUAUCCAACUUGUCUGUUAAUGGGCGCAAUGGUGCAAAUCCACUGUCUAAUAAAAAUGAGAUAGGGCACCAAUAUGCAAGAAAGGCCAUUGAUCAGGAAGAACAAGCGUAUGAAGGUGAGUUAAGUGUGAGAAAGAAGAAGAUUAGGCGUUUUUGCUAUUUCCAUACCAAACAGCAGAAAACUUUGCAUGUUUUUAAACAGAUACAAGGCUUUGCAGGAACAUUCCUUCCUCCAGAAAGAUGCAGUAUGGAUGUUCACCCUUCUUCAUGAGGGUUUCAGUAGCAGAUCCUAAAAAACAAGUAAGCCAACACUGGCUACACACACAAAAAUCAGUAAAAUGAACUACCUUUCAGUAAGAUGAAAUACCUUUUCCGAUGUCUGCCCCUAAUCGAGUUCGUGCAAAAUCUAAUGGAUACACUACGCACAUUGAUGUUGCCCCAGCUGCUCCACCAGAAGCCAGAUUUGCAACAAACCACCUUAGGAACUGAAAUGGAAACAGUGAGUUCAGUUCAAAAACCAAGUUCAGUGACACUCUCCAAGUCUGUUAAAUAUAUCAAGUUAUGGAAAAUACUGAAAUAUUUUACACAUUCAAAAUAGUCCACUUUGAACAAAGACAAAUGACCAAAGGUCCUGGUGGCAACACUCAGAUAUGGGGAUUGAGAUUCUUCUUACAAAGCCCCAACAAAACUUCUGUUGUGUGUUGAUUUUUGCAAUGGGUAAAUGGCAAACAAAGGUUUGCAACAUAACUUGGUUCUUAUGUCUAAAACAGAUUUUAAGCUUAUAAAAUAACGUAAGAGAUUCUAACAAAAUCCACCCCAAUUCAGUUUCUGUGCCGAAACUGGAAUAACUUAGUCAAGUUUGAGUUUUGAGAUAGAUGAUUUAGAAUUUGGCUUCUUUAGAUUUUUGGGACAUUUCAUUUGUUUGACUCUGACUUUAUACUCAAAUUUAUUUUUCUUUCUUUGCAGCUCUAAUGAAAAGUAACUGAACUAAACGUGUUACUUUCUACAAUCAGUAUGCAACAAGUACUGAUAUAAAAACCUGACCCUAAAGCUAGGGAGAUUCAGCAUCAAAGACUCACAACAUUAAAGUUGGCCUGUAAACACUUUGUUUGAAAACGAGAUGCCUUUAGAACUAUGGAUCAUUUGAAUUAGUAACCUCGAUCAAUUCACCACUGCAUUAGGAAACGUCAGUUCUUGGAAAUCCAGGAGCCAGAGUCAGCCUUGCUGCCAAGGGUCCAGGGCUCUCAGAAGUGCUCACUGUGAUUGCUAAGACCACCCCAGUGCCCAUUGCCCUGAAGAAGUGAGUCUCUCAGAACCCACCAGAUAAGGAACAGGAACAUGGAGGGAAGUUUGUCAUGUGCCCCUGAAACCUGAACCCAGCUCUGAUAGGCACAAGGGCAACAAUACUAAACAAGUUGUUCUAGUAAGAACUAAUCAGCCUACUUUUUUUUCACUGUCUCUACAAAUGGACUAAAUUUCGUUCAAAUAGAGGGCCACAAGUUAGAUCUCUUGCACCUCAAAUGUUCAUGAGUCUGCCAUUUUGGAUCGGCGUGGAUGACAUCAUUACAAACUACACCACUGAGGUGUCCCUGUGUGUCACUCACUACAACUGUAUCAAAUUUGGUUCAAAUCAGUUAGUCCACAAAAUAGCCGGCUUGCACCUCAAAAGUUCACAUGGUCCACCAUCUUGGAUGGGGUGGAUUACAUCACCACAAACUACAGCACUGGAGCAUACCUAUGUGUUCAUACAGCUGUAGCAAAUUUGGUUCAAAUCGGUUAGAAUGUCCACAAGUUAGUGCACUUGCUCCUCAAAAGUUUACAUGUCUGCCAUCUUGAACUGGGUUGGAUGACAUCAUCACAAUCUACGCUGUUGAGGUGUCCCUAUAGCGGUAGCAAUUUUGGUUCAAAUCACUUAAGCGGUUCACAAGUUAGCCCACUUGCGCCUGCAAGUUUACGUGACCACCAUCUUGAAUUGGUGUGGAUUACAUCAUCACACACCAUGCCAUUUGAGCAUCCCUAUGUGUCCCUACAGUUGGUUCACAUUGGUCCAGGCAUUGCGAAGUUUAUAGCGGGCAGGGGCAUACACACAUGGACAGACACACACACAGACUGCCGGGUGAUCUCUUAAGCCUACUGGAAAGUAGGCUAAAAACAGUCAACUUCCCACUCUGGUAUAGACUAGGAUGUUCUUUAGAUGCACGCGAAGUCUAAUAAUGCUUUACAAACUUUGCUUUGAAAGUGCUAAAAAUGCAAGUCACUCAAAAUCCCACACCAGUAGCUGGAAUAAAUGUAUGAAUCCCUCACAACGAAUUAAAAAAACAAACCCUGCACAUUCUCCAUGCAAAAACAACAAAGCAAUCAGGAAAAACUCUAUCCAUCAUUUAAGAGAGCUAAUUCUAAAUCAGAUUUUAAAGAGCUUAGGUUCUCACAGCAUUAGAAGACAAGGGAAUAAAACAGUAGAUUACGAUCUAUAAUGAUGACUACAAAAGGAUAAAUGCUGGAGAAAGUAUAUUUAAAUGUGUACCCCAACAUCUAUCAUCGGGUCAAAGUAUUUACAUGUUAAGAAACCACAAUUAUACUUAAUCAAAAACAGGCAUGGAAUUAAGAUUUUUCAUAUGACAUCUCACCUCCAACAACAAGAAGUGGUAGCAAAUAUAGGCUGAACUGCAGUUUUGGUGAAGUGUGAAGCUAGCCCAAGACUUCUUCACAGCAGGGCCGUUGCUGCACAGAUCUGUUCAACAUAUAUUCUCAACACACACGCUAAGUUGUGCAAACUGGUCUUUAGCUAUUAUUUCCAUUCACAAAUGGUGCCUUACUCUAUAGGCAUCAGCUUGAUGUCCUACAGCAACUUAAAAUGCAAACCAUGUUAGAGAUUGCUGAAUUGCAGAAGUUACACACCUCAUUUUUAGCUUACUUUUUUCCAGUAGGCUUAUGAGAUCACCCAGCAUGGUGUGUAUGUGUGUGUCCGUCCACCCGUGUGUGCCCCCCUGCCAACUUUGCAAUGCCUGGAACAAUAUGAAGCGGCUUGUUAAAAAACAACCACCUGAACAAACCCUGGAUUGAUUCAUGGAUGGUAAGAAAACAGCUAUUAAGUAGGAAGUGCAGGACAUCCACUACUAAUGCUUUAAAAUAGACAGAGACUGGGAAUAGAUGGCAGGAAAUAGCAUAUUCUGUUAACAUCACAGUAUGCUAAAACAUGAGCACCUGAUCACUGUCAAAGUUACAACUUCAAUAGAUUGUCAGAUGGACACAAUACAACAGUUUUUAGGUUCUUAAAUUUUAGCCACCAGAGGGGGUACUAAGACCCCUGGAAGAAAAAGUGGUGUACUAGGUUUCACAGUAUAUUGCAAGCAUGCAUGCAGCAUGUUUUAAAUAAUCAUAAUAUUUUCAUUAGACAAAGCACGUUCCUCUUACACAUAUUGGCGGAUAUGCUGUUAAAGAUAAAAUAGUGUGGUGUGUUAGUGCCCCAUUAAACAAAAAACUAGAUGCCAAGGAGAUUUUUUUUUUUAACACAAACUGCCCUGAGCCACUUUAGAAUGGGUGGUAUAUGAAUGAAUGAAUGAAUUUAAGCGAAAGACUGCUGAGAAGAGAUAGAAGGGAAGGAUCUCUGAAAAAGUAGUAAGCUUUGCUGGGAGAAAGAGCCAGCCAGCCAGAUUAAACUUUAUAUGCAUUUCAAGAGAGAGUUCUAGAGGUACAGGGCAGUACAGGAAAAUAAGUACAGUCAAAGGUCUCAGUACAGGAAUGUAAUGAGAGCUGUAGAGUGUGGGGCUAAGAAGUCAGGAGCCUUGUCAGGAACACUACAUUGGAAAGGUAAAGAAAGAAAGAACUUUUGGGAAAAUCGGAAAAGCUUGGUGUGUUCCAAGAUUUAUUAACAGUUAUUAUUUAUUAACAGCAUUUAUAUACUGCCCCAUAUAAAAUCUAUGGGCAGUUUACAAAUUAACCCACAACAAUUAAAACCUUAAGUCAUAAGGCCCAGCCAUUCUUGAAAUGUAAAGGGUUGGGCAAAAGGGGAGGGGGCAGCAUGGCAUGUUGCACUUUUUAAUUAAGGCAAUGGGCAGAUUCCUCCAAAUGGGGGGUGGAGUGAUGGUACAAGGGGGUAUUCAGUUCCAGAAGUUUUUAUAAUUUUCUGCCUUGAAACAAGACAAUUAUAGGAAUUUAUUUUAUUUAUUUUUAAAAUAAAUAUUUUUAUUUAAGAGAACGUCUUCUUCGUUAUGAACCCCACUGCCCAUUAAGAUCAUCAAGAGAGGUCUGUCUGCAUUUGCCACCGGCUCGUCUGGUGGCUACUCAGGGACCGGCCUUCUCCGUUGCUGCCCCAAGGCUUUGGAAUGCGCUCCCUAGUGAAAUAAGAGCCUCCCCAUCUCUGACCAUUUUUAAGAAGUCUUUGGUAAAACUGCCGCCCUGUAACCAGAAGGUUGCAAGUUCGAUCCUGACCAGGGGCUCAAGGUUGACUCAGCCUUCCAUCCUUCCGAGGUCGGUAAAAUGAGUACCCAGAAUGUUGGGGGCAAUAUGCUAAAUCAUUGUAAACCGCUUAGAGAGCUCCGGCUAUAGAGCGGUAUAUAAAUGUAAGUGCUAUUGCUAUUGCUAUUGCUAUUGCUAUUUAAAGAUGCAUCUGUUCACUCAGGCUUUUAACUGAUACUGUUUUGAUUGUUUUUAAUGUUGUUCUGGAAUAUUGUUUUUAAAAAAUGUAAAUUGUUGUGUUUAAAAUUUCUUGUUUUUAACUGUUUUGAUGUUGUUUUUAUCUUGUUGUAAACCGCCUAGAGACGUAAGUUUUGGGCCGUAUAAAAAUCUGUUAAAUAAAUAAA